AUCAAAUGUGUGUGUCCAUGUGUCCACUCUUUGGGUGUUUGCUGAACGGAUAAAGAGCAUCAGAAGCAGGGCUCAAAAUCUGAGAUGUGGAUACAUGUAAUUGUGACCUUCAUUUAUUCUACACUUCUGUCAGGGGUAGUGGCCAGUAAAUGGCUCAUCUAUUUCUCCAGGACAGAUAUCUGCGUUUGGGCCGGGACUACAGUAACACUGCCAUGUCGCUAUGAUUACCCCUCACCCUACAGCGCGACACGGGUGAUGUGGUUCCACAUCUCCACUGAGGGCAGACGGGAUAUUGCUUACCAUGCUGAUGGGAACCUUCUGAGCCCCUCGUACAGGGAUAGGGUGAAAUACAUGGGGGGCCACAAAAGAUGCAGUGUGCAGAUUACCAACGUGAAGCUGAGUGAUGCAGGAAUGUACCAUUUCAGAUUCGAGACCGAUCACCCGCAGGGCAGAUGGACCUCUCCUGAUUCAAUCAGUCUUUCAGUCACAGAGCUUCAGGUACAUGUGCAUCCAGCGAGAAUCGGAAACAUGUUUGCUGCCGGGGAGACGGUGUUCCUAAGCUGUGUGGCACGAGGCUGUGCCUCACCUGGCAGGAACUUUGCCCUCUAUCGGAAUGGACUCAACUUAGGGCAGUCCAGCAAGCUGUCAGCCAUCUAUAACUUUGACAGCCAGCAUGCAGGUACCUACACCUGCCGCCCAAUACCACCUCAAAAUGUGCAGUCACCGGGAGUCACCCUGGCUCUUGGCUAUGCUCCUCGCUACACCACGGUGCAGAUGACCCCUCAAGAGGCACUCACGGAGGGCAACUCAGUGACUUUGACCUGCAGCAGUGAUGGAGCUCCGCCAGCAGAGAGUUUUGCCUGGUUUAAGGAGGGAGAGAGUGGCAGCUUGCCAGACAGCUUUAAACCUGAGCUGAGACUGUGGAGUUUGGACUACAGGGACCAUGGAGAGUACUUCUGUGUUGCCCGCAACACACUCGGCACAGACCGGUCCAGACCGCUUUUAGUAAAUGUCACAUACUCCCCAAAGAACACCAGAAUCAUGGUCAGUCCUAAAGGAGAUAUCAUGGAAGGGUUUGCCGUCAAUCUGACCUGCAGCAGCAACGGAAACCCUCCUGUGCAGAAAUACACCUGGUAUAAAGUGAACGGCGGUCAGCCCUGGACCAAAGGCUCUGUGCAGAAUCUCACCUUCCCCAGUGUGCGUUCCCAUCAUGCUGGACAGUACUACUGCACUGCAUGGAACACUUUUGGCAUGGGAACAUCACCCACUGUUACAUUUACAGUGCUUUAUGCCCCCAAAAACACUUCUGUGCUGGCUCGUCCCUCCACAGUGAUCGAAGCGGGCAGCUCACUGACGCUGACCUGCAGCAGUCAGGCCAACCCGGCGGUGGAGAACUACACCUGGCAUCGGAUCAAUUCAGCUGAUGCCUGGGAAACUCGAUCAGGUCCCAGCUACACCAUUGCUGAGGUCAGCCCUGGAGCCAGCGGCCAGUACUACUGCGAGGCCCGCAACCGCAUCGGAGCACACAGCUCCCCUGUCCUGACAGUGAAAGUUCGAGGGCGACUAAAGGUGAUUGCACUGGCAUCUGCAGUGGGUGUGUCUGUCGGACUGAUCUCCUUAACUGUGGUCGUCAUGAUCAGUAAAAACAUGCAUCGUGUGGACACUGAAAAUCUUGAGGAAGAAAAACAGUGUUCACCAAUAGUUGAUUUACCAGCGAGCGAUACUCUAUUCAGGGAAUCAACUUCAGAGACUUUUCUCCUCAAGAGCAAAAAAAUGUCAGACAUCCUGGUAAGAUUUAUAAUUUCAGAUCCUCCUCCAGUAAUUUCAGUCACUGCAGAGGGCCUUGUCCCAAUUCAAAGAUGGAUGGGACACAUGUGUUUUAUAUGGUCAAAUACUGUCUCCAAAAUAUUGGUACAGAGCCAUAUGUGGACAGGAAAUGAAAGAGGAGAAUGUGGCACAUACUUGCAUGUCACAAUGCUUUUAUCUUGUGUCUGGUCUAGGAGGACCCAGAGGAGAUGUAUGAAAGUUCCCACCCUUCCAUCGUACCCCUGAAAGAAGUCCCUCAGAGUGCUGAAGAACCGGGAAAAAUCAACUACAUUACGGUGCAUUAUUCACACAUGCCCAGUCUGGAUCAGGUGAAGGUCACAAACAUACCUCCAGAUGGUGAAAAGAAACUCAAAGACAGCCCUGAUGUUGUUUUCACCAAGCAGCCAAGAGAGGGGACCGCAAAAUCUGGAAUUUGAAGAGGUCUACACAAGGGCGUGGAUUUUGGCAUUUACCCAUGUUUCCACUGAUCAUAGUAAAAAUAAUUAUUUAUUGAGAUAAUGUCUUAAAAUAAUGUCUAAAACAAAAUAAACUUACUUGAGAAGAAAAAUGGUGCAAGAUAAUGAGACUGAAUACAGUAUAUCUUGAAUUAAGUUUAUUUUUCAUAUCACAUUGGAAAAUUGCUGUUUGGUUUAAACAGAAUUCUUACUAAAUUUUAUGACAUUUAUGCUUAAAACAAGACAAAACAGUUUAACAAUUUGGUAAGAAAAAUAAACUUAAUUCAGGAUACCUUUCACUGAAAACAAGUCUUAAUAUAUCAUGCAAUUUUGCUUCAUAAGUACAUUUAUGGACCACUGAAAUGAUAUAGGUUGUACCUCAGCAAGAUCUGAGAAUAGGUGGUACAGGUAGAAGUUCUUUGAAUGUUAUUUUUCAUUAUGUCCAGCUGCAGUUUGUUCUUUUAAAAAUCCAGUUGCUCCAAAAAGAUAUAUGAUUUUACAGAUACCAUGUAAAAAGAAUAUCCCACUUUAAAAUUCCAAAUUAUGUAUUAUGUAUUAUGUAUUCAGAACUCUCAAA